CUAGAGCAGCCUCAUCAAAGGAAUCCUUAAUGACCUGCAGCAGCUCCCUCUGCUCACCCAGCACCCUCCUGAGCCCUCAGUCCUGCUGCUGGGGGAACAGGGCCAGGAAAGCCAGCACAAAGCACCUGAGAGCUGCAUGGGGUGUCAGGCCACCAAGAGGCAUUGAUGACUGUGAGCAGCCUCACCUGGAUCCCAGCCCAUGGACCCUGAGAUGUUCAUUUGAGCUCUGCCAGAACCAUCACUCCCUGCUCCAGUUUGACUGGGGAGUGUGGGUCUCCUGUGUUGGUCACCCAGACCUUCACCCAUAGACUGCAGAGCUGCUAGGAGAUCCCCAGGCUGUGUCUCACCAAGUGAGAGGUGAGGGUGGCUGCCCUCACCAAGCCUCACCCUGACCUGCAGGUCCUUGGGUUGCAGCAAGGGAGGCCAGCAGUGAAAUUGUAUCAGCAGAGCUGCCCAAAAGGAGGAGGGAGAGGCUGGGCUGUAGCUGCAGCCAGGCAGGUGUCUAGUGGAGAGAUGAUCCAAACCCAAAUGAAGCUUUCUCCUGGUAUUUAUAGA